UGGGGAAUAUUGCGCAAUGGGGGAAACCCUGACGCAGCAACGCCGCGUGAAGGAUGAAGGUUUUCGGAUUGUAAACUUCUUUGAUUGGGGACGAUAAUGACGGUACCCAAAAAACAAGCCACGGCUAACUACGUGCCAGCAGCCGCGGUAAUACGUAGGUGGCAAGCGUUGUCCGGAUUUACUGGGUGUAAAGGGCGUGUAGGCGGGGAUGCAAGUCAGAUGUGAAAUUCCGGGGCUCAACCCCGGCGCUGCAUCUGAAACUGUAUCUCUUGAGUGCUGGAGAGGAAAGCGGAAUUCCUAGUGUAGCGGUGAAAUGCGUAGAUAUUAGGAGGAACACCAGUGGCGAAGGCGGCUUUCUGGACAGUAACUGACGCUGAGGCGCGAAAGCGUGGGGAGCGAACAGGAUUAGAUACCCUGGUAGUCCACGCCGUAAACGAUGGAUACUAGGUGUAGGAGGUAUCGACCCCUUCUGUGCCGGAGUUAACACAAUAAGUAUCCCACCUGGGGAGUA
rnacentral:rRNA from 1 species